rnacentral:rRNA from 1 species
UAGGUCCUACGGGACGCAGCAGUGGGGGAUAUUGCACAAUGGGGGAAACCCUGAUGCAGCGACGCCGCGUGGGUGAAGAAGCGCCUCGGCGCGUAAAGCCCUGUCGGCAGGGAAGAAAAUGACGGUACCUGAAGAAGAAGCCCCGGCUAACUACGUGCCAGCAGCCGCGGUAAUCCGUAGGGGGCAAGCGUUAUCCGGAUUUACUGGGUGUAAAGGGGGCGCAGACGGCGAUGCAAGCCAGGAGUGAAACCCCGCGGCCCAACCCCGGGACUGCUCUUGGAACUGCGUGGCUAGAGUGCAUGAGG